rnacentral:rRNA from 1 species
UACGAAGGGGGCUAGCGUUGCUCGGAAUCACUGGGCGUAAAGCGCACGUAGGCGGAUUGUUAAGUCAGGGGUGAAAUCCUGGAGCUCAACUCCAGAACUGCCUUUGAUACUGGCGAUCUCGAGUCCGGGAGAGGUGAGUGGAACUGCGAGUGUAGAGGUGAAAUUCGUAGAUAUUCGCAAGAACACCAGUGGCGAAGGCGGCUCACUGGCCCGGUACUGACGCUGAGGUGCGAAAGUGUGGGGAGCGAACAGG